GGAAGAUGGUCAUGGGGAUUGGUGUACUUGUCUAGAGAAGUAUACGCUCUGCCGGGAUGGUAUAUACCAUAAGCAAGACCAAUUUGGUCGGCUACUUCCAACCUUCAUUCAGGUCAUUGAUUUUACAGAGCAGGAAGAAUUUGAGUAUUGGGCCAUAAUGUCUGCCAUUUCUGAGGGAAAACAGAUUGACACUGCUACAUCUAGGACAAGUUCAGACUCAGUCACAUCAAUCUCCACCGACGCUAGCAUCAAU
rnacentral:misc_RNA from 1 species